rnacentral:rRNA from 1 species
AUUGAACGCUGGCGGCAUGCCUUACACAUGCAAGUCGAACGGUAGAGGGGGCAACCCCUCGAGAGUGGCGAACGGGUGAGUAAAGCAUCGGAACGUGCCCAGUAGUGGGGGAUAGCCCGGCGAAAGCCGGAUUAAUACCGCAUGAGACCUACGGGUGAAAGGGGGGGAUCGCAAGACCUCUCGCUAUUGGAGCGGCCGAUGUCAGAUUAGGUAGUUGGUGGGGUAAAGGCCUACCAAGCCGACGAUCUGUAGCUGGUCUGAGAGGACGACCAGCCACACUGGGACUGAGACCCGGCCCAGACUCCUACGGGAGGCAGCAGUGGGGAAUUUUGGACAAUGGGCGCAAGCCUGAUCCAGCCAUGCCGCGUGCGGGAAGAAGGCCUUCGGGUUGUAAACCGCUUUUGUCAGGGAAGAAAUCCUUUGAGCUAAUACCUCGGGGGGAUGACGGUACCUGAAGAAUAAGCACCGGCUAACUACGUGCCAGCAGCCGCCGUAAAAC